GGGACUAAUGCGAUGUCUUUAAGUAGUGGGUUGUCUUAUAUUCAGAGUCGACUUAUGUUUCAAUAUGAACGGGAAUGAAGUGUUACUCAAUUCUAUUAACGAAAUUUACCUCUGCUGCUUAGUUUCCAUAUUGUGCGUAGAAGCAACAGUGCGUGCACUUUCAGCUGCUCAGUUUAUCUUCAAUGCUGCUCUCAUUUUGUAGAGUUCAUCACUUGUGCAUGUGCAACACAUUGGCGGAGGCAAUACGAACUGCAUUUCUCAUUAGCUGGACAAGUCGGAAUGGCAAUGCAUCUUGGAGAACAAGACUCGAAUUGUGAAAGUCUGGUGGUUUCACAGAACUUUGUUUUAUGUCAAGAUGGGCUGACACCAUGUCACCUGAUGCUGUUACUCUCUGGAAAUGCCUAUUUUCUGCCUGCCCAGGAGGAGCUCCAAGCAAUAAUCACAGAUCAAAACGUCUGAUUGUGGUAUUCACCCAUUUCUAAUGUGCCAUCUUUAACAAAACUUUCUUGGCGAUUUUUGUAUGCUUUACCGCAUAACACGGAUGUAUUGCGGCGAAGCUGACUUUGGAAAAUUGGUUGCAAUGUGCAACACAUUGGACCCUUGUCCAUUUUUUUAAAAAUAAAAAUUGUGUGCGCAUUUGAUUUCUCUUUCAUUUUAGGGGCUUUUGUCCUUUCUAUGCUAGUUUACACUUUGGACACACAGCCACCGGGCGUGUGUUUCACUCUGGGGCAUGUUAGAAUCUGUACGUAAACCAUGGCAAAUAAAUCAGUCAUGUGUGUUGGCA
rnacentral:lncRNA from 1 species